UACGGGGGGGGCCAGCGUUGUUCGGAAUUACUGGGCGUAAAGGGCUCGUAGGCGGCCAACUAAGUCGGACGUGAAAUCCCCAGGCUCAACCUGGGAACUGCGUCCGAUACUGGAUGGCUUGAAUUCGGGAGAGGGAUGCAGAAUUCCAGGUGUAGCGGUGAAAUGCGUAGAUAUCUGGAGGAAUACCGGUGGCGAAGGCGGCAUCCUGGACCGACAUUGACGCUGAUGAGCGAAAGCCAGGGGAGCAAACGGG
rnacentral:rRNA from 1 species